rnacentral:rRNA from 1 species
UACAGAGGGGGCAAGCGUUGUUCGGAAUCAUUGGGCGUAAAGGGCGCGUAGGUGGCCUGCUAAGCGUGCGGUGAAAGUCGGGGGCUCAACCCCCGAUCGGCCGUGCGAACUGGGAGGCUUGAGCACUGUAGAGGCAGGCGGAAUUCCGGGUGUAGCGGUGGAAUGCGUAGAGAUCCGGAAGAACACCGGUGGCGAAGGCGGUUCUCUGGGCCUUACCUGACGCUGAGGAGCGAAAGCGUGGGGAGCGAACAGG